rnacentral:rRNA from 1 species
UACAGAGGGGACAAGUGUUAUUCUACAUGAUUGGGCGUAAAGGAUAAGUAGGUUGUUUCUUUAAUAUAAGAUAAAAUUCUAUAAAAAAUGUAUAGAUAUGUUUUUUUAUAAUAAGAGACUAUGGGUUUAUAAGAGAUAAAAGAACCCACUAAAGGAACAGUGAAAUGUCAUGAGAUUAGGGGGAAUUCCAAAUAGCGAAAGCAAUUAUCUUGUUAAAACUGACACUAAAUUAUGAAGGUUUGGGGAGCAAACAGG